UACGAAGGGGGCUAGCGUUGCUCGGAAUCACUGGGCGUAAAGCGCACGUAGGCGGAUUGCUAAGUCAGGGGUGAAAUCCUGGAGCUCAACUCCAGAACUGCCUUUGAUACUGGCGAUCUUGAGUCCGGGAGAGGUGAGUGGAACUGCGAGUGUAGAGGUGAAAUUCGUAGAUAUUCGCAAGAACACCAGUGGCGAAGGCGGCUCACUGGCCCGGUACUGACGCUAAGACGCGAAAGCGUGGGGAGCAAACAGG
rnacentral:rRNA from 1 species